AUACACCAAGCCAGCCACCACAUUCCCCUAAGCCAAAGCCUAGUCCAAAGCAAGGCCCUCACUCACUUUCAAUUCUAUGAAGGCCGAGAGAGGUAAAGACGAUGUAGAAAUCUCAAGCUACCUGAGGCUGUCUCAUAAGGUUUAAGAAAAGAAGCCUGCUCAGCCGGGUGUGGUGGCUCACGCCUAUAAUCCCAACACUUCCGGAGGCUGAAGUGGGCAGAUCACUUGAAGUCAGGAGUUCAAGACCAGCCUGGCCAACACGGUGAAACCCUAUCUCUACUAAAAAUACAAAAACCAGCCAGGUGUGGUGGCAGGAGCCUGAAGUCCCAGCUACUUGGGAGGCUGAGGCACAAGAAUCCUUUGAACUGGGAAGGCAGAAGCUGCAGUGAGCCAAGAUUGCAUCACUACACUCCAGCCUGGGUGACAGAGUGAGACUCUGUCUUAAAAAAAAAAAAAAGAAAGAAAGGAAAAAAGAAAAAAUCUUAAGGGCCUUAAGAAUUAUGCUAAAUCUACUCUGCCUGUGGUCUAUAUAUAAAACAAAAAGCCCAAAU
rnacentral:lncRNA from 1 species